rnacentral:rRNA from 1 species
AUUGAACGCUGGCGGCAGGCCUAACACAUGCAAGUCGAGCGGAUGAAGGGAGCUUGCUCCUGGAUUCAGCGGCUGACGGGUGAGUAAUGCCUAGGAAUCUGCCUGGUAGUGGGGGAUAACGUCCGGAAACGGGCGCUAAUACCGCAUACGUCCUGAUGGAGAAAGUGGGGGAUCUUCGGACCUCACGCUAUCAGAUGAGCCUAGGUCGGAUUAGCUAGUUGGUGGGUAAAGGCCUACCAAGGCGACGAUCCGUAACUGGUCUGAGAGGAUGAUCAGUCAAACUGGAACUGAGACACGGUCCAGACUCCUACGGGAGGCAGCAGUGGGGAAUAUUGGAAAAUGGGCGAAAGCCUGAUCCAGCCAGGCCGCGUGUGGGAAGAAGGUCUUCGGAUUGUAAAGCACUUUAAGUUGGGAGGAAGGGCAGUAAGUUAAUAACUUGCUGUUUUGACGUUACCAACAGAAUAAGCACCGGCUAACUUCGUG